UUUGGAGAGUUCGACCCUGGCUCAGAACGAACGCUGGCGGCAGGCUUCACACAUGCAAGUCGAGCGCCCCGCAAGGGGAGUGGCAGACGGGUGAGUAACGCGUGGGAAUCUACCCAUCUGUACGGAAUAACUCAGGGAAACUUGUGCUAAUACCGUAUACGCCCUUAGGGGGAAAGAUUUAUCGGAGAAGGAUGAGCCCGCGUUGGAUUAGCUAGUUGGUGGGGUAAAGGCCUACCAAGGCGACGAUCCAUAGCUGGUCUGAGAGGAUGAUCAGCCACACUGGGACUGAGACACGGCCCAAACUCCUACGGGAGGCAGCAGUGGGGAAUAUUGGACAAUGGGCGCAAGCCUGAUCCAGCCAUGCCGCGUGAGUGAUGAAGGCCCUAGGGUUGUAAAGCUCUUUCACCGGUGAAGAUAAUGACGGUAACCGGAGA
rnacentral:rRNA from 1 species